CACGUAGGGUGCGAGCGUUGUCCGGAAUUAUUGGGCGUAAAGAGCUCGUAGGCGGUGUGUCGCGUCGGCCGUGAAAACUCACAGCUCAACUGUGGGCGUGCGGGCGAUACGGGCAGACUAGAGUACUGCAGGGGAGACUGGAAUUCCUGGUGUAGCGGUGGAAUGCGCAGAUAUCAGGAGGAACACCGGUGGCGAAGGCGGGGUCUCUGGGCCGAUACUGACGCUGAGGGAGCGAAAAGCGUGGGGGAGCAAACAGG
rnacentral:rRNA from 1 species